UAUUAAUAUCAUAAUUUUACUAGCUUUACAGUGACAGUUUGUUUGGAAGAGCAAUACUAAAGCAUGCUGAUCUUCAAUCUGCUUACACACCCGUAUAUCUUUAUCAGUUCUCGUACUAUGGAGCACGUCAUGUCAUGGAGCCCUUCAUUGAUGGUGCUGAAAAGGUAGCCCAUUCUUCCGAUCUUCCUUACCUAUUUUACUGGCCUCGAUCGGCCCAAGCUGAAGAUUUAUUGGUACAGAAUAGGCUCGUCAAACUCUGGACCAACUUUGCUAAAUAUUUAAAUCCAACUCCGGAGGAAUCUGCACUAUUCAACAAUGUAAUUUGGACUCCACAUACUGAGGAAAAUUCAAUUUAUUUAAAUAUUAAUACUACACUAGAGUUAAACACUCAUUUGAAGGAAAGAACAAUGGCAGGUUGGGCCGAAAUAUUCGAACUCUAUGGCAAAAAACCUUUAAUUACAUAUUAAAACACGUAAUGUGUUUUUGUACAGUUGUAAAAUACCAAAAUCAAUUCCGUUGCAGAAUAUAAAUAUUGUGCUUACAGUUUGUUUAUGAAAAUUAUUUACAAAUGAUGCAAAUAAAUAUAUUGAGACAA